GCGCUUCCAAUAGUUCAGUAGCAACUCGCCCCUGAAUUUAGAGAAAUUCAGACGACUUCAGUGGAAAAUUUGCUUUACAUGAAAGAAGAUCUAAUCAUUCCACAUCAACACGGUUUCUAUGAGCUGAUAGUGAAUAGGGCGAGGGGCAAAAGUGGACCGCUUUUUCACUUUGAUGUGCAUGAAGAUGUGCGUACCAUUGCUGAUGCAACAAUAGAGAAGGAUGAGGUACAUC